GUGUUCCCUAUUAUCUCUCUCUCUCUCUCUCUCUCUCUCUCUCCACACACACACACACACACACACACACACAUAUAUAUAUAUAUAUAUAUAUAUAUAGAGAGAGAGAGAGAGAGAGAGAGAGAGAGAGAUGUUAUAUAUGAUAGAGUUG
rnacentral:miRNA from 1 species